CUGAAGUCCUAUAAAGACCCAUGGAGGGUCCUCAGCCUGAGUUCUCUGGGAACUUACUGUCCUUUUCAAGAAGGGUUCUCUCCUAGGUGAGGGAUCUGCCGGUGGCUUUUGUGAUCUGCCCGAGGUUCCUCAGAAGCAAAGCAUGGGAACGAGAAACGGGGUCACCCACGCUGGGCGCCACCGCUGUGACUGGGGCCUUGACCCGACCGAGGCGCUCAGGACGCUCACGGACUGCAGAGCAGAAGGAACAUAUGCAAGUUCGGAGCCGCGCUACCCACCGGCACCUCGGACGCUGCUCACACCACCUUCCCAGCAAGACGCCACCUGUCGCUGACUGCAGAAGGACUCCAUUAUGCCCUGCUGGGAUGUCACCUCCUGGCCGUCCCUGAGGGGACAGGUUAAGGCCAUUAAGAGGAGGCUUCGUACUAAAGAGGAAACACUUUUGAGGGGCUACAGUUGUAACAGGGAAUUGACGUGAGGAUUUGGACAGCAUCGUUCUUCUGAGAACCUCUUUGGGCUUCAUGGCUGACUCUUUAACUCACAUUAAAUUGAGGGCUGGUGGGUUAAAAACCAGAGGUGAAGUCAGCCUUUCUAGGGAUAGACUCCUGUGAAUUAUGCAAGUGUUAUGUAAAGUCAUUAAUUCCCAAGCUGAACAACAAGAUGACAGAUGGCUAAGAACAGAUGUGCAGCCCAGAGUGAGCCUUGUGUUUUGGGCAGACUUCAGUGACGUCUUAAAGGUGUGGGGCUCUGAGGGCUAUUAAGGCAAUGAGCUCCCUACAUCGGCAGCAUUUAAACCCCCAAAGCAAUUAAGACAAUGCAUUAACGGAGAAGCUUGAAAUCAGACAACACAUAAUACUCGAUGUAGAAAACAUUCCAGCUUCCAUAAUUCUUUAUUAAAUAUUUGACAAGUUGUAUCACUUCUUUACAACGACUUCAUUUUGUCACAUUACUCUUUUGCUGUCAGGAAAACAAUCUACAAUUUCUCUUUAGAUCUCUCAAGAAAAAUGAAAAGCAAAAAAGGAUUUGUUCCUAAACAAAACUUUUCCUGUAUCAAAUUCAACCAUGUUUUAAAGCCAUUCUGAUUGUGAAAAGGAGCGUUAUCCGGAAGUUGUCUUUAAAAAAUUUCAAAGCAGUUUGGUUUGUAAUCACCGUAUCAAAUAGUACUUGGCUUUGUAUUAUUAGGGGGUGGGGUUUAUAAUAAAAAGUUACGAAACAUUGAGAAUUCA
rnacentral:lncRNA from 1 species